rnacentral:rRNA from 1 species
ACGGAAGGCAGCAGUGGGGAAUUUUGCGCAAUGGGGGCAACCCUGACGCAGCAACGCCGCGUGCGGGAUGGAGGCCUUCGGGCUGUGAACCGCUUUCAGCAGGGAAGACAUCGACGGUACCUGCAGAAGAAGCCCCGGCUAAAUACGUGCCAGCAGCCGCGGUAAUACGUAUGGGGCGAGCGUUAUCCGGAUUCAUUGGGCGUAAAGCGCGCGUAGGCGGCUGCCUAAGCGGAGUUUCUAACCUUGGGGCUCAACCUCAAGCCGGACUCCGAACUGGGCGGCUCGAGUGCGGUAGGGGCAGGCGGAAUUCCACGUGUAGCGGUGAAAUGCGCAGAUAUGUGGAGGAACACCGAUGGCGAAGGCAGCCUGCUGGGCCGCCACUGACGCUGAGGCGCGAAAGCUAGGGGAGCGAACAGGAUUAGAUACCCUGGUA